UCUCCGACAUAACUGAUUCUCUACUUUCUGCAUCCUCCCUUGCAGAUUUGAAGUCAUGGCCAGAUACAUUUGAUUCAGAGUUUGGAGCAGACAAACUUACAGCCAUCACAGACCACUACAGAGAGUUCCUCACCGACCGUACUGACAUUGAGCUUGAUCUGAUUGACCAGGAGUGGAUGAGUCUAAAAACUAAGAUCUACAAUAGUCACAAGCCUUCAG